AUGUCGGGGCAGAUGUUCACCCUCGUGGCCGCCGCCGACGUCCGGUACGGCGUGAGCAUGCGGCGUGAGUUUGGAAGUCAUUUGGAAAACAUAGCCCCCGAGACCGAGUUUGUCAAAAUCAUAGCUCGUGGUGGCCUCGUGUUUGAUUUUGAAGUUAUUAGGGACGACUACGAGCCAUUUCUUUCGUCCAACGGAUGGGAGGAGUUUGUGGAUGCAACUAACAUACAAGAAGGUGACUCCGUUCUGUUUGUGUACCGUGGGAACUUCUGCUUUAAGGCUCACAUAUUCAAUCCAAGCGGUCACGAGAAAUCUUUUUUCUUUUGUCAACGACCUACUGAGAUAUUUGGAGAUGUUCCUUCGAGCACUCUUUCUGAUCAACGUGUGAUGAAUGGACACGAAGCUCACAAGGCGAAUGACCAGCCAUCUAUGAAUCUUGAAGACGGUUCACCACCUCUGUCCAAUCAUGUUGGGGGGCCUUCCCAGCAUACCUAUAUUUUGGCCCGGGGGCCGACUCUAUCUACGCAAAUGAAGAAAAGAGUUGAGGAGAAAGUACAAGCAAUUGGAUCUGAAAUUCCUAUCUAUGUCAAAAAGAUGACCCAAAUCUCUAUUAUUGGCAGCAAGGGCAAGGGUAGAGGAUGCCGAAUAUAUCCUGUGACCUUCUGCCGCGAAUUUGCUUCAGCAUGGCUCCCCUACUGGAAAACAAAAAUUUACCUUCAGGUAGAGGGCAAAACGGAGCCAUGGUGUACCAAGUUCGAUGUUCGACGUGGUGACAGAAUGGGUUGGAUUUACAACGGGUGGGAGGAAUUUGUUUGGGAGAAUGGCCUGAAGGUAGGGGAUGUGUGUCUCUUUGAAGCAAAAAAGAAGUAUGGCCAGAUGUUGAUUGUCCAUCUGAUUCGGUCGGAAAUAGAGGUGUAG
rnacentral:rRNA from 1 species